CGGAGGAUCCGAGCGUUAUCCGGAUUUAUUGGGUUUAAAGGGUGCGUAGGCGGCCUGUUAAGUCAGGGGUGAAAGACGGUAGCUCAACUAUCGCAGUGCCCUUGAUACUGAUGGGCUUGAAUGUACUAGAGGUAGGCGGAAUGUGACAAGUAGCGGUGAAAUGCAUAGAUAUGUCACAGAACACCAAUUGCGAAGGCAGCUUACUAUGGUAUUAUUGACGCUGAGGCACGAAAGCGUGGGGAUCAAACAGGAUUAGAUACCCUGGUAGUCCACGCCCUAAAACGAUGAAUACUCGAUGUUAGCGAUAUACAGUUAGCGUCAAAGCGAAAGCGUUAAGUAUUCCACCUGGGGAGUACGCCCGCAAGGGUG
rnacentral:rRNA from 1 species